rnacentral:rRNA from 1 species
GAUCCUGGCUCAGGAUGAACGCUGGCGGCGUGCCUAACACAUGCAAGUCGAACGAAGCAAUUAAAAUGAAGUUUUCGGAUUGGAUUUUUGAUUAGACUGAGUGGCGGACGGGUGAGUAACGCGUGGAUAACCUGCCUCACACUGGGGGAUAACAGUUAGAAAUGACUGCUAAUACCGCAUAAGCGCACAGUACCGCAUGGUACGGUGUGAAAAACUCCGGUGGUGUGAGAUGGAUCCGCGU